CUGGCAAUAUUUUUCGGUGACUAGCCAAUGAAGCAAAAACCAAACAAAGAACUUUUAUAAAAAUGCCUUGUUUGUAGAACUUACUUUCAUGACUUCUUAAAAAUUGUUCGAUUUUCCCAAGAAAAUAUUACAGUAUAAAAAAGGUCGAAGAGUUAAAGUGUUAAUCAGGAAGUUUUGGCUAAAAGCGGCUGCUGGGCAGAGGCACUCUAACAAGGAAAAUUUCGCUCAAGUGUAGAUGACACCGGUGAUAUGUCCGUUUCAUCUGAUUAUUGGUGUGAUUUGACAUUGGACGAUGACGAGCAGCAUAACAUAUUGGCUGCAUCAUUGUCAUCUCAAAAUAAAUCACAACUCUGCACCGGUGAACAGCACGCCGGCUUCGACAACAAUGUAGGCGAUACGUGGUUAUACCCCAGCAAUUUGCCACUACGUGCAUAUCAGUUAAGUAUAGUAAAGGUCUCACUAUUCAACAACACACUAGUCGUAUUGCCCACCGGACUUGGUAAAACUUUCUUAGCAGCGGUUGUUAUGUACAAUAUUUACCGGUGGUAUCCGACCAGUAAGAUCAUUUUUAUGGCACCUACUCGUCCUCUAGUGGCUCAGCAAAUUAAGGCCUGUCAAAGAGUAAUGCCUUUUGCUGACGAAGAUACAGUCGAGUUAACGGGCAGAUUGCCGCGCUGCCGCCGUAAAGAGUUGUGGAGUGAAAAACGUGUUUUCUUUGCUACACCACAGGUGGUACAAUCGGAUAUUAAUGGAGUAGAUGAAUCUAGUACCCGUCGGAAAGAUCUUAAUUUUCCUUUUGACCAAGUGAAACUUAUUGUAGUUGAUGAAGCGCACCGUGCUAAGGGACGAUACGCGUACAUUGAAGUUGUUCAGGCUAUAAAGCAACGCAAUAACUACUUUAGAGUUUUAGCGCUAUCUGCUACACCGGGGCGUACCAUUGAGGACGUCGCAGAAGUAGUGUAUAAUCUCUUAAUUUCUCACAUUGAAGUUCGUUGUGAUACGUCGGUCGAUGUGCUGCCUUAUGUUCACAAGCGUCAUAUGAAAAAAGUUGUUGUACCGCUUGGCGAAGAUUUAAAGGCAUUGCGUGACGAAGUGUUACUGAUAAUAGAUCCAUACCUUCGGCAGCUAGUCGAUGCGAAAGUGUUAGGUGGGUCGCUAGCGAACAUUACACGUAAUUUUCUAUUGUUCGAGCAGAAACGAUUUCGUGAGCAAAGUCGAAGCAAACAGCAUCCAGAGCAAAAGGCUGUUUCAAUAAAUUUUUCGUUUUGUAUUAGUAUGUAUCACGCCCUUGAAUUGUUAGAACGACACGGCAUGCGCGUGUUCCUGAAUUAUUUCGAAGAAGAUGAAGAAGGGCGAAAUAAGUUUGUAGUAUAUAUGGAACCUCGAAUACGUCAUUUGUUAGAUCGAUUGCGUGACAAAUUGGGCCCGAAUCCUUUCGAAUUUUCAACACACCCAAUGACAAAUGGGCAAAUCGCUAAAUUGCCCGAUAAUCUGGACUUUGGUCAUCCGAAGUUUGAAGAAGCCCGAAUUUGUUUACUUGAACAUUUUCAGGCUCAUCCAGAUUCCCGUGCCAUAGUUUUUUGCGAAUAUAGAGAAUCUGUAAUGCUGAUAUAUCGCUUGUUACUGCAACAUGUGCCAUUGUUAAAGCCACGUUAUUUUGUAGGUCAGGGCGCAACUACUGGUUCUUUGCGCCCUCUUACACAAAAGGAGCAGAUACAAAUUAUGCAAGAUUUUCGUAGCGGUAAAAAUAACAUACUUGUAGCAACAUCUAUCGGCGAAGAAGGCAUUGAUGUUGGGGAGGUGGAACUGAUUGUGUGCUUCGACAUUAACACUUCUAAUCCUCAACGUUUCGUUCAACGAAUUGGUAGAACAGGGCGACAAAAACAGGGUAAUGUUGUGAUAUUGGUUACCGAAGGACGGGAACAGCAAAUCCUGAAGAGUGUGCUUGAGCAAAAGGAUCAAACUAAUGCAAAAAUACUUCAGUCAAUGGUAGUACGUAAUUCAUUAUAUAAGAAUUCGCCCCGGCUUGUACCCACCGAGUUAGAUCCAAAAGUAAUUCAUGUCUUUAUAAAACCUGUACCAAAUGAAAAAGGCAUUGAUGUAAAAUGUAAAAAUGAUAAUGAACGCAAAACUAGAAAAAUUAAGCAAAAAACGAAAGACAAUUACAGUAAAAAAAAUCAAGAUCUACGAACCUAUUUCAAGCAGCAAUCGACCCAAAAUCCUAGUUUACUAUUGGCAAGCCCACCUCCACCUGAUUUAGAGACGCAGCAAAGUGUCGAAAAAUGUUUAAACAAAAUAGAUGAAUAUUUUAAAGCCUUCGAAGCUCCAGUGACAACAAAUACACAAUUGUGUGCGUCAAAUCCAUUUACUCAAAAACCACCUAUAACUCAGUUUAAUCGAAAUGUAAUAUUGAACUCCCAACGUUUUCGCAACCUACAUAAACUAAUGCAGAAAAAUACACCUUUAUUACGGGCCAAGGACGUAAUUACCGACCCAGUAGAGCAAAUAAAAUCGCCAAAGGUAUCUAAUGAUGGAAAACGUUUCAUUUUGCGUGCCCAACCAUCUAUAGUGAGUGAUUCUUUAGAGAAAAUGAAGGUUUUGGAGUUAUUGGCCUCAGAACACGACGAAAUGUCCGCGGAGGAAAAACAUGUUAGAGAGUUGUAUAGCAUAAUUGAAAAACUUUUAGGUGGCACGCGACUAGCGGUAGAAAUAUUCGUUGAUGAUGCAGAGAUAGAAGAGAUGGUUAAGAAACGCUGUGAAAUACCUUCCAGCGUUCUUGAUGUAAGCGCCAGUGAAUAUAAUGAGACCUGCGAUGCAAUAUUCAACGGAUUAGAGCCACAGGGAAUUCUGUGUGAUAAUUUUGAAUUUAUUCAAAAAGAAAUAGAAAAAAUAGAAUUUUAUAAAGCGCCAUAUCUUGAACCGGUAGAAGAUAAUAAUAUACCUAUUCCAUACUCGCCAUUAAAAAAUGAUGCCGAAUCAAUGAUAUAUGAAACUGUUAGAGAAAAUUAUCAAAACACCAAUAUUUCUGACAUCACUAUGGAUUCUGAAACCAUUUUCCAAAGCAACUGCCAUUGGGGUGACUUCGCAAAGAAUGCCCCAUUGGCUAGCAAAUCUACCCCUUUGCAAGGACCGCUAGUAAAAGCAUUCCAGCGUCAAGUUGGAAAAUCUGAAGAAAAAAACCACUCGAAGGGUGGUAGUUUACUAAAGAGGCUGGAAAAAAGUUUUAGUGGGUCAAAUGAAAGUGCAGAAGAUGAUUUGGACGUGAUAUUUGUUUCUGAAACAGAAGACCUAACGAAUACCAAAGCUUUGUUAACUGACAGAGUACUUGAAGAAGUAAGUACUUAUACCGGGGAAAUAUCCGUACCCGAUACACUUUCUGAUGAAAAACCCGUUGUUGAUACGCAGAAUUCGUCCAAACAAACCCUUCCAUCAACAAAUUCUUACCUAUGUGAAUUAGAUGUAGACAUAGAAGCGUUUCUGGAACCAUUUCCUGAAGAAACUCAAAAGGAUAAUACUGCUGAAACUGCAAUUGUCUUCACUAAGAAAAUUAAAAUCGAUAAUGAAAGAAUUUCUCUUGGUCGAUCAGCGAACAUUAAAUUGGCACAUCGCGCAAGUCAAAAAGAAAAUGAGAAUACUUCGAAUUUGAUAAAGACUCUGAAGGCAGUGAAGAAGUUUUCAAAUCCAUCAGCUACAAGUGCAAAACCUAAUUUAAGCGAAUCGAAUUCCAACAUAUCGGCAAUACCACAAGUGAAACUACCGAUUCAAACAGAGCAAUAUGAAAAAUCUCCAAACAUGUUAGAAAUGUACGUGGAAAAUGCAGCAGCUAAAAGUUGUAAUGAAGAAAAUUCACUUAUCCCACAUAACACAUCUAAAAGUAAAUCGUUUUCCUUCAGUGGAUUGGACAUGAAAGCUAAUGAAGGGUCAGAAAUGGAGUGCGACGAAUUUAAAGAAACUCAAAUCCUCAACGAUUGUAAAACCGUUCAGUCAAAAGUCUGUAAAAUAGUUUCAUUAUGUAAUGAGGACAUUGUUUCCAAUUCGAAACAAAAAAUCGAUGAUGAUGAAAUUCCAAACCCUAAUUCACCGCUUUACUCAAGUCAAAAUGAAUGCAACAGUACCUCGAACUUAUUAACAACUCUUUCAAAUACAUCAUCAAUGCUAAAUAACAAGCAUAAUUUGACAGUAUUGGAUUCAAAUAGACCUGAAACACCACCAGGAAAGCUUCUAACUGAACCGGAACAUUGUCAAAGAUCACCAAAUCUGUACGAAAUGUACUUGCAAAAUGUACGAAAACGUAGCAACUUGCCGGAACAUAUAAAGCAGAGCGUGACUUUCGCCAAAAAUCAACUUCUUAAAGCAUUAUCCUCAUCCGUCGCUAACAAUGUGAACCCAGUACAAAUCUGUGACGAUGAUACAUUAAUCAUUCCAUUGAAGGCAAUGAAACGUAAAUUAAUUUCAUCAAGUGAUUCCAGCGAGGUAGACCUGAAAGCUGAUGGAGGAUUAGAAACGGAUUGCGAAGAAUUUAAAGACACUCAAAUCCUCAACGAUUCUGCAUUUACUCCGUCAAAAGUUCACAAAAGAAUUCCAUUCGGUGAAGCUGGUAUUGUUUCUACUUCGCAGACGAAUUUCGAUGAUGAUAUAAUUUUAAACCCUACUUCACCUAUCCACUCGAAUCAAAAAGAAAAUGAAAAUAUUUCAACGGUAUUAAAUUCCAAAAAACUCAUAAAACCAAUUCAACUUGAAUACCAUCAAAGAGAAAAUCGUAUGAAUUUUUCGAAAUAUGUGUACAAAAGCGCAGAGAAUCAACUUUUCAGAGCAUUGCCCUCAUCCGACGCUAACCAUAUCAACUCAGUUUGUAACGAAGAAAAGUCAUUAAUUAUUUCAUCUAAGACAUCCAAACGUAAAAUAAUUUCCUCCAGUGAUUCCAGCGAGUCAAUAAAGGCGGAAACGGAAUGUAAAGAAACACAAAUCCCCAUGCGUAUAAUAGACUCGAAUUCAAGUGCCAAAGAUUCUGAAACAGAUCCAUCUAACACCCGUAAUAAUAUUUCCUCGUGUGAAACGGAUGGCGAAGAGAUCGCUGAAACCCAAAAACCCAUUCGCCGUAGGCGCCUGCAACGACAAAGUCGUCGUUUGCAUGACUUCGUUGAUACUCAAGCUAUAUUUAGCAGGGAUGACGAAAGUGAAGAAUACAGCCAAAUGCCAUGUAGCCAAUAUGUUAAAGAUUCCAUGAUUGUGUCUAGUGAUGAAGCCGAGACGUUUGACGAAAAUGCAGCCACAUCAACACAGAUGCAAGCGUACUAUCUUCAAUCGGUUAAAAGUCCAAAACAUUUACCGCGUGGCGCUUUCAAAAUUCCCGCCUUUCGCGAGUUUAAUGAUCAAAGUCAAAUAUAUUCACAAGCUGCGCCUUUAGAAGAAUCUCAAUACGUUUGCGAUUCUUUUGUAGUAAAUGAAGAUGAUGAAGGAUCAAUAGAGUUACAUGACCAAACUGUAUGCCCACUGGAACGAGCUGAGCGCAUUUUAAAGGAACGGAGACGUAGAAGUAAGGAAUUCAAAUCAGUUGCUAAGAUUCAGCGGCGACGGCGCAUUGUCAAACCGGCAGAGAGUUCUGAAGAUGAGGACUAACACUCAAAAUUAUUAAUCACUAACAUGAAGUAUUUUCGUGGUAUUCAGUGGUGAUACAGUGAUUUUUGUUUUUGAGUGCGUAAAUCUUUGGAAAUUAGAACUCGAUUUAAUUGUAAAUGCCUAUAUAUGUAUGUGUACUUGUAUACACUUUGGUAUUAUUUUAUUGUUCACGCCUCACACACAGUGCCGGGAGGCAUAGCGGAUGAACAGACAAAUGUUUGCGGUUGUUUCCUAUAUUAAGUAACUUCGUUUCGGGGAACUGCAGUCACUGGCAAUUGGUUUGAAGGUGGUGCUGUGCCGUUGUUUGUACAGAUUACGUGGUUGAAUAUAUAUCUCUUUUAAAUCUUCAGAAAAUAUGCUAUCCUCAUUGCCUCCGAAAGUGGCAUUUACCGUCCGCAACUCCAUAUCCUUCUUGUAAAUAUUCUCCACCAAGGUUUGGCGCCUUUUAUCGCGCACAUUUCGCAACUCUGCUGAUUUCUCUACCAUAAAAUGUUUGCUACCUAUUUUUGUGCAAUUCACAAUUAUGGAUAGCAAUACACAAAAUUCCACAAUGGCAACAAUAAGACUGGCGCACAAAAACAGCACAUAUUGCUCGCGAUACCAGUUGUCCAAAUAAGUGAGGCAAGGCGCUGUAUGGCGAUGUUCGACAAAAUCAGAUUUCUGUAACAUUUGACACUGUGAUUCAUUCACUGGCUUUGGAUCCAAGUAGGACAUCUUCUCAUUGGCAUUUGUCAAGAUGCAACAGGUGAGUGGUACUACCCACUCACGUUGACCAUAUCGUUGCAACUUCCAGAGAGAGGUAUCAUAAUUGAUGUCGCUAUUCAUUCCGCAGCAACCGAAACGUGCUUGUGCCAAGUCCAUGGCAAUGGUGAACUGUUCUUUACCGGGAACACCAUAGUUGCCCUGCAGGGUCUUUACCAUUUUAGACUCAUCCAAGCUGAUGCCCAGGCAGUGGGGCCACAAAGUGAUGGCCAGGCAGACCAUUGACUCGGCUAAGAGCAAGACGACCACAGCGAGGAAAUAUAAACUGAGACAACAGUAAGUGUGUAGACAGGACGCCCAAAAGCCGGUUAUAGCGGCGAGCACUGCCACCAAGCCGGCCACAGUCAGACCAACCGAGAUGUAGUAGAACAAGGGCUGAGGUAAGUUGUUGAGUUUCUCACUAGUGGCAGCCAACAAGCGGGAAAGUAGGAUGCGCUUGGAAUCGGUGAACAAAUAGAAACCGGAAACGAUGAGCGUCAUUCCACAGAGC